rnacentral:rRNA from 1 species
GACAGAGGGUGCAAACGUUGUUCGGAAUUACUGGGCGUAAAGCGUGUGUAGGCGGUCCGCUAAGUCGGGUGUGAAAGCCCUGGGCUCAACCCAGGAAGUGCACUCGAAACUGGCGGGCUAGAGUAUCGGAGAGGUUGGUGGAAUUCUCGGGUGUAGAGGUGAAAUUCGUAGAUAUUGGGAAGAACACCGGUGGCGAAGGCGGCGCUCUGGACCGAGACUGACGCUGAGGCGCGAAAGCGUGGGGAGCAAACAGG